CCUACGGGUGGCAGCAGUGAGGAAUAUUGGUCAAUGGGCGCGAGCCUGAACCAGCCAAGUAGCGUGAAGGAUGACUGCCCUACGGGUUGUAAACUUCUUUUAUAAAGGCAUAAAGUGAGGCACGUGUGCCUUUUUGUACGUACUUUAUGAUUAAGGAUCGGCUAACUCCGUGCCAGCAGCCGCGGUAAUACGGAUGAUCCGAGCGUUAUCCGGAUUUAUUGGGUUUAAAGGGAGCGUAGAUGGGUUGUUAAGUCAGUCGUGAAAGUUUGCGGCUCAACCGUAAAAUUGCAAUUGUUACUAGCAGCCUUGAGUACAGUUGAGGUAGGCGGAAUUCGUAGUGUAGCGGUGAAAUGCUUAGAUAUCACGAAGAACUCCGAUUGCGAAGGCAGCCUACUAAACUGCCACUGACAUUGAUGCUCGAAAGUGUGGGUAUCAAACAGGAUUAGAUACCCUAGUAGUC
rnacentral:rRNA from 1 species